CCAGAUUCGGUUUUCUUUUUAUGAAUUGGUUUCUGUCCAUUUGAGUCUCUCCUUGGCUCUGUGGCAGCCCACCUAUCGACUGAUGAAGCGAAAGUGUAUGAAGACUCAACCAUGUCAGCCCCACUCAGGACAACUCUGAAGGCUCAUUCCAGCUCCCAGCUCUCCACAGAGUUCAAGAAGGCUCUUGGAGACUGAAACCCCUACCAGGUGGAAGAAAUUAACAGGUAAUGAUUGGAAGUCUACAAGCACUGUAGACCCCAGACUGGCUGGAACCAGAAGGUUGAUGAUGCGGAUUCCCACUUA